rnacentral:lncRNA from 1 species
UGCAAAUAACCGUGCAUAAGUACUUGGGUUUUAAUAGUUUCUCUUUGGUAUAGUAAUCAUUGGAUAAAUAACGAACGGUGUGCUCUAAAACAUUAAAAAUUUUCCCUUUUAAGUGGUCGUGUAAUUUGGAGAUGAAUAAUGAUGAUCGGCUUGUAUUUGAAAAAAACUUCAAAAGUGCUUUACAUGGCAUUUCACUAAGCUUUCAAAGUCCAGCGACCGCAUACAUGCCGUGGUCAAAUUUAAGACGAAAAUGUGUGGAAGGCGUUCGCCUUACCAGGGUAACUGCAAAAAGUGUUGUGGAAAUGCGACAGAAGGAUAUAGAUGCUGGUAAGGAGAUACCAGAAGAUGCACUAUCGUAUGUUUUGAAAUUGAAAGAAGCUUUGCCCAAUUGUGACAUUGAAGACUUGGUGGAUAUGGUCGUUACAGUUGUGUUCGGA